UAAAAUUCAAUUUUCAUUGCACCUAACUCGAAUUGUAGGCAGUCAAUUCCCCCUUCCAAGGACUAUACUGGAUCGUUGAGAGUCAUUUUCCUAGGUCUCGACUGCUUUGACUUCACUUUGAUAGGUUCCACCCUAGGUUAAUAGUAAAAUCUAUCUGUGAUUAAUGAAAACACAAGACAUGAACAAAAAUUAUGAUAUGUAUUGAUUGAAAUUGAAUUAUAGAAAAUAGAACGGGAAUACAAUCAGCCUUUUGAGAGGGCUAUACUCUCCACAAUAUAGUUUUCACUCACUAAUUUGUAUUCUAUUCUCUUCCAACUCUUCCUUAUUUAUAAGCUACUUGUAACUGAUUUUCCAUCCCAUUUUUACUCUCUAACAGAAUAGUUUUCCACCCACUUGCUGGUUAUUCUUCUUCUAGGUCCUUCUAGAAAAACUAAUCUCUCUAAGAAGUUUUCCAAGAUUUUUAUGCAUGG
rnacentral:lncRNA from 1 species